rnacentral:rRNA from 1 species
GACGAACGCUGGCGGCGUGCCUAAUACAUGCAAGUAGAACGCUGAAGCUUGGUGCUUGCACCGAGCGGAUGAGUUGCGAACGGGUGAGUAACGCGUAGGUAACCUGCCUGGUAGCGGGGGAUAACUAUUGGAAACGAUAGCUAAUACCGCAUAAUAGUAGUUGUUGCAUGACAACUGUUUGAAAGGUGCAAUUGCAUCACUACCAGAUGGACCUGCGUUGUAUUAGCUAGUUGGUGGGGUAACGGCUCACCAAGGCGACGAUACAUAGCCGACCUGAGAGGGUGAUCGGCCACACUGGGACUGAGACACGGCCCAGACUCCUACGGGAGGCAGCAGUAGGGAAUCUUCGGCAAUGGGCGGAAGUCUGACCGAGCAACGCCGCGUGAGUGAAGAAGGUUUUCGGAUCGUAAAGCUCUGUUGUAAGAGAAGAACGAGUGUGAGAGUGGAAAGUUCACACUGUGACG